rnacentral:rRNA from 1 species
CCUACGGGUGGCAGCAGUGAGGAAUAUUGGUCAAUGGGCGCGAGCCUGAACCAGCCAAGUAGCGUGAAGGAUGACUGCCCUACGGGUUGUAAACCUCUUUUGCCGGGGAGCAACGGGCGUCACGUGUGGCGCCACUGAGAGUACCCGGAGAAAAAGCAUCGGCUAACUCCGUGCCAGCAGCCGCGGUAAUACGGAGGAUGCGAGCGUUAUCCGGAUUUAUUGGGUUUAAAGGGUGCGUAGGCGGAUCGUUAAGUCAGUGGUCAAAUUGAGGGGCUCAACCCCUUCCCGCCAUUGAAACUGGCGUUCUUGAGUGGAAGAGAAGUAUGCGGAAUGCGUGGUGUAGCGGUGAAAUGCAUAGAUAUCACGCAGAACCCCGAUUGCGAAGGCAGCAUGCCGGCUUCCGACUGACGCUGAAGCACGAAAGCGUGGGGAUCGAACAGGAUUAGAUACCCUAGUAGUC